UCUGUAAUAAGUAGUUAUGUAUGCUUUGCAUCGGGGUGUCGGGGUGUAAUCAAACGUCGACAUUGGUCUGGCCAUCUUUGUCAGUCACAUGCGCGGGAUCGUUUGGUUAAAAGAGAUAGAUAGACCACCGAUCGACUGUUUCCAUGCUAUUUCCGCGUUCCGCUUUUUUGGUGAGUAUUAGUAUGCCGAGUCUAUGCUUAAUAACAAGAAUCUACAGGUCGAGCAAGUCUCGUAAAUUUCACGAUUGCGAGCCACGCUUCACGCAACCGUGUUUGCGUACUUGUGUUUCAAGUUGCGUGGUCGUACGGAGUUAUAUUUACCAAAUUUACUAAAUAUAAUCGUUUUCAAAAUUAAAUCAAUAUGUCAAUAUGGCUACUGGGUGUAAAAGAUAAAUCUUAUUCUAUCUGUUCUUAAUGAGUUUUAGAUAAUUUUAGUUGUAUUUCUUUGUAAUUUUGUGUUGUACAAAGAUUAAUUUAACAUUUUCUCUGGAAGUAUUAAUUUAGAAAGAUAAUAUGCUUCAUUGGUGUUGUGUUUUGAAGUGUGAAAUGUGAUAAAGUCAAGAUUAAAGUUCACUUUUAAACUGAACUAAAUAAGGUAUCUGAGAGACAACAAUGGUUAAAUGCAAUACAAUGUACAGGUUUUACUAGCGAAAUGAAAAUUUUCCUGUCCUGUCUGCUGUAAUCAUUUUAUAUCUGGAAAACCAGCCGACUUAAUAGAUAAUAACAAUCUCCAGAUUGGGUUCCUUCAAUAAAUAUGGUCUAUAAACACAAUGAAAUAAGUUCCCCAAAAUCUAAAAUGGAGUGGUAUCAAAGGAGAAUUAAAGGGAAAAAUAUUCAUAUUGAAAUUAUUUAUAAGGCACUGGACUGUCUUAAAUUCUACAAUAAUACUAGAAUCAGCUGAGAGAAGUGGUCUAUAAAAAAACCAGGAAGGAAACGGAAUAUGUGGCUACGAAAGGCAAAAGAAAGGUUUACAAAGCAAAUGUGACACAUUUUUUUGAAAUAUUUAGGAAUAUCAGUAAAUUGCAUUAAAAAAAUGUAUGAAAAGAUUUUGUUCAAUAAAAAUGUUUAUAUUUA